rnacentral:rRNA from 1 species
UACGGAGGAUGCAAGCGUUAUCCGGAAUGAUUGGGCGUAAAGCGUCCGCAGGUGGCAAUGUAAGUCUGCUGUUAAAGAGUCUAGCUCAACUAGAUAAAAGCAGUGGAAACUACAUAGCUAGAGUACGUUCGGGGCAGAGGGAAUUCCUGGUGUAGCGGUGAAAUGCGUAGAGAUUGGGAAGAACAUCGGUGGCGAAGGCGCUCUGCUGGACCAUAACUGACACUCACAGGACGAAAGCUAGGGGAGCGAAUGGG